GAUGGUCCUGUGCCUUGAUACAGUAAGCAAGAGCUUUGGCCGGGCUUGUGUUGGAUGGCAGAGAGUUUUGACUCUGGAGUUCGUUUUGUUUCUUGGCUUGGCAGUUGGCAUGACUACUUGUAGACAGGGGGUAUUGGUGAUUUGAACAUCUUUUACUCUCUGUUGUUUCGGUCUGUGAUUAUCCUGAAGUAGUCAAGGCUAGGUGUUCACAAGGUCGUACGUAUUACUUCACAUGUACUUUGGUUACACAUGUUGGCAUGCGUCAUUAGUCAUUCUUUCCCCUGUUUCAAGGAUAACAGUGUUGUUAUAAUAGUUAGAUAGCAUUUUAAAAAGUUGGUCAAGUAUGUUUAAGGAUGUUAAGAGUUUUGCCGGCUUGUAAUUUUUCUCCUCUUGAGUAAGUGAUGUAAUCUUUUCACAUUUGUUGAACUGUACCUCCAAUGCUGUUGAUACUUGCCAGAGUGGCAACAGAUAGCAUCAUUGCAAAUGGAGUUGGUUGUUCUAUGUUGGGACUUGGAAUCUUGUCGACUUUGUGCCCAACAUUUGUCUUGCUGUUUUGUAAUGAAAUGUCCAAAUCUGGAAAAUGACCGUGUGUCAUUGCGUGCAAGACACUUACACUCGCGAAUGCUGUCAUUUUGUGAGCAUAUUUUCUUUGUCAAUAUGGUGGCAGUUUUGUCUAAAUAGAUGUGAUUAGUAAUAAUUGUGCCUUGCGGUCUUGUGCGAAACUAACUGGCAUUGUUGCCAAGAUGCAUGAAUGAAUGUGUAUGUAGUCUUGGAUGGAGCAGGAGGGGUAAGUGAUGACAUGACAUGCAGCUUGCACUGGUGCCGAAGUGCUUAUCCUGACCUAUGACUUUGAUGUCAAGUGCGGGUUGCAGAGUCACAAGUUGCAUGCUAAGUACUCGACGAAAGCAAGCUCACAGCUGAAAUCUUCAACUGCCACACUGUUGUGAUGAUGGCGGAGCUUUUGUCUCUGUCUCUCUCUCUAAAAAAUAGAAGAGCUUUUGUCUCCAUUUAUGUACAUACUCCUAACCACUCUUAUAUUAUGGAACGGAGGGAGUACUUUGUAAGUUUGUAUACGAUGAUCCCUAGGCUAGGCUGGUCCCAUGCACUCUGGUCUCUGGGGCUGCAGUGAAAUGCAUAAAUCAAGCAUCAUCAAAUUAGCGUAUGUGCAUGGUUAACUUUGUUUGCUUGAGACUUUGAGAGCAAUGGCAACAUCAAGCCAUGGACCGCCAUGAUGAAGGCGCACGUGAUGCAUCAUUUUCUGGACAAGCAUAUCAUUUUCAGAGAUGAAUGGCAUACACAAAGCACCUGUAGAUUUGAAGUGACUCUUGUAGGAGGUUAAUUGUUCCCAUCAUCUCAUGCAGCACGUGAGGGCUUCUCUUUCCCUCUCCCUUUCCCUUCUCAUCAGGCAGGCAGGCAGGCAGAUCUUGCUUUUUCUGCCCAGCAACUUUCCUUCUUUUCUGUCUCCAACACCACUCACCCAAGUGCGUCUACUGUAAAUGGACGGAUGGUUUGUUUCCUGCUUAACACACCGUUUGAGUGGUAACAAAUUUCUGACGGAGGGAGUAUAUUAUUUUGUCAGUUGACCCAGCAUGCCGUUGUGUAGGGUGCAUGGUUUUGCUACAUGCAAAAGUGAAGCCAUCCAAGUCUGAAGAAGUAUCUACAAAACAAUAAGUAGCUCCUCCGUUCCAAAAUAAAUGUCUUAACUUUGUACUAAAUGUAGUACAAAGUUGUACUAAGGUUGAGACACUUAUUUUAGGACGGAGGGAGUAGUAUUAGUAAUUUCAACAAUCAAGGAGUAUAAAUUGCGGCCGCUGAUUCUUGAUUCCGCCGAUGAUUAAACAAACAAAUCUCCUGUUCUGUUCUAACGGUAUUGCCGCAAUCUCGAUGCAUCCAUCUUAAUUAGCAGCUCGCUCAAAUGUUACUAAUUUAUCUAGCCAAAUGCGUUGGCUUCCGUUCCAUGUGCGCUCAAGAUUGCACUCUUGAUGGGUCCAAUAUUAAACACCUUAGAUAAUUAGAGACCAUGCUGUUUUUGACUGGUCUCACAACCCAAGAUUUGCUUGCGUGCUUGUUGGUUAGUUUGCUCAUGGAAUCUCUCAAUCAAAGGAUGAGGAGACCUGACCUACCAUGCGGGUGCGGAUGCGGUGCACAACACACUGCUGAUCUGGUCUUCAUAGGGCUCACAUGGGUCAUGUGGCUGUGGGUGGGGAAGCUUCUGAUUGCUGAGAAAGAAAGAAAAAAAAAACUAAGGAGCAUCGUGCCAGCCUUGCUUGUGCAGACAAGUCUUGUUUCUUCCAAGUUCCAACAUGCUUGCUUAUUACUGUACUUUGGGGAUGGGGCUUAUUGGUGGGGGUAGACAUGGCUCUUGUCCUGGAUAACUUUGCUGGUACUAGUUGCCAUUGCUAUUGCUGCNNNNNNNNNNNNNNNNNNNNNNNNNNNNNNNNNNNNNNNNNNNNNNNNNNNNNNNNNNNNNNNNNNNNNNNNNNNNNNNNNNNNNNNNNNNNNNNNNNNNNNNNNNNNNNNNNNNNNNNNNNNNNNNNNNNNNNNNNNNNNNNNNNNNNNNNNNNNNNNNNNNNNNNNNNNNNNNNNNNNNNNNNNNNNNNNNNNNNNNNNNNNNNNNNNNNNNNNNNNNNNNNNNNNNNNNNNNNNNNNNNNNNNNNNNNNNNNNNNNNNNNNNNNNNNNNNNNNNNNNNNNNNNNNNNNNNNNNNNNNNNNNNNNNNNNNNNNNNNNNNNNNNNNNNNUGUGGUGCAGUUGCAAUUCUCCCUGCCUUUUUGCUUCUUCUCUUAUUAUCAGGCCAUGUCCAAAUCUAACUCAUAAUCAUAUAUCUCUACAUUCUGCAAAAAUAAAUAAAUAAAUAAAAUCUCACCCCUCUGAUAGUGAUUACUCACCAUUACCCUUGUACUUAUAAUAAUUAUCACGCUGUGGUGAAUAAGCCAAUGAUCAUGGCAGGGUCAAUGAUCGUGAGGUCCCAGCCCAACAUUUGAAUGGAGCAGAAUUGACAGGCGUGCAGUGUGCAUCUGACCUUGCAAAUGUUGCAGUGAGUUGAAGAAUAAUGGUACUGUAUCUACCAGCUAGAAGUAAGGCUCUUUUCAGCUUUAUAAGAGCAUCUAUAUAUUCAUAUAGACAAUGGUCUAAAAAGAUUCCCUCAUAUACAUAUCCAGUUUUGCGUCAGAACGUCUAUAUACAGGGACCAUGACAGGUGGGCCGUUGCUGGGGAGAGAAAAAAAUCAUGACUACAGCUGAGUUUAGACAACGUAUUCACAUUGUCCAGGCGUGGACAUUGUCGAGGUCGAUUUAGAGGAUGUGUAUAUUUGGACAACCAUAUAGACAAGCUGUUGGACGCCUGUUUUGGGCUCACGUCAUGGAAAACAAGUAUAGACAUCCAUAUAGACAAGCUAUUGGAGAUGCUCUAACAAGGAAUCAAUCAAAUGAAUGCCACAUCAUGAUUCCUGCCCCAGAAAGCAAUACAAAGUUAAAGAUGAGGACAAGCAUCAGAUCUUGCCUACUGCUAGCAUGAUUUCUUACCCACUAUCUUUUUUUACUCCGUGCAGCUAAGCAAGCAGUACCCCUUCCAUAAUCAAAUUUGCCUUACUGUACCAGCUGUUACAGGUUUCUAAACAAUUGCAGGUUGGUGAAUGGUGAGUGUGUCUGUCCAGGGCGGUCAUGUGUUUGGUGCUACCACAUACUUAAAGGUGUGUUCUUCUGUUCACCUGCAAAACAUUACUUUAAUUAUAUACUGUUAAUGAAUACAGCACAAUAGUAAUUCUGAUUGCAAAACACAUUACGGCUUUGUAUCAGUUAGGAGCUGUGAAGGGGUCCUCCAUGGAAUUGAUGAAUAUGGAUGAGGUAUCUCUCUCAACCCUAGAUGCUCAUCAGUGAUUUUAAAUGAUUAGAAUAUUAUCAUCUUAGACUGAAUCAUGCUAGCAUCAAUGAGCUAUUAUUAUUAUUGCCCAGAACAGUUCAGGAAAAGUUAGUCUGCCUCUUUCGGAUAAUCUGGUACACUGUCAAAAUAACCCCUCACCUAACAGCAGAAUUAAACUGUGGUCCGGAAGUUUUGAUUGCUAUCAAAACCUAAUAAAUAUCCUAACUGUAAACGGCGCCAAAAAGAGCAGUUAGUUACAAGACACAAAUACAGGUAGGUAACUGACAAGACACCUCUGUACCCAGAUCCUAGUACCACUCCAUACUGCAUGUAUACUCCACGGGGAAUAUCCGGUGCACCGAACUCCAGUAGCACAUUUUAAAAUAUUCAAAAACUUCUGAAAACAAAUUAGCACACUGAAACCGAUAUUCCAAACAUAGUUUAGAAAACAAAAAUGACAAAUUCAACACUGAAAGUACUCCCUCUAGCAGGAAUUACUUGUCGCAGAAAUGAAUGUAUAUAGACGUAUUUUAGUUCUAGUCACAUCCAUUUUUAUCCAUUUUUACGACAUGUAAUUCGGGACGGAGGGAGUACUACAUAGCAUAGGCUGGGCUUUAUUUUGACCCAUUAUUACAUUGAUGUCAUAUUUGUCAUUUUUUAUCUCGAGCAAUGUUUCGAGUUUUGAUAUGAAAUUUGGUGACAACAUAUAUUAAUGUUCUGUCAACCUGCUAGACUUUUUUUGUUUAGAUUUGUUGAAACAUUUUAAAAUGUGUUACAACAUCCAAUGCAUCCAUAGCACCACAAGGUGGGUGCACUGGAUAAAUUCCUACAUGUGUAAGAGCAACUCUAGCAGAGUCACUAUAGGUGCGAUCCUCAUAUGGGAUAUGGAGCGUGCUACAUAUGCAUUUGGAGGUUGCGGCAGCUGUGCGCAAACACCGUCACCAUAAUGCGGCCUCCAUAUCUUUUUGUUGUUGCAUCAACUCAAUACUCACAGACCCAUUUGAGGGACUAAAACACUAAAUUUAAGAUUACAUUACAUUACGAAGCUGUUACAAAGUUGAUGUCAAACAUGGAGGAUUUUUUAUGUCUUGGGAGAAUCAUAGUUGCUCCCCACCAUGUGCAUAUGUCAUGAGUCCACUCGUCGUCUAGGCACAACCGUGUGACAGUCUAGUAACCUCUUCUUUGUUCCAUUUCUUCCUGUCGUCGUCGAGGUCGGGGAUGACAGUUUCAAGCGGUGUAAGACCCAACAUGGCGUGAUUUAUCUUGGUGAAUGUCACCUUCCCCAUGUCAAAUGUGCCAUUUGGAACCACACUUCGGCCCCUCUUGGCCUUUAAUGCCUGCCCUGCGGUGGUGUGCUUGAAGAUUUCACUGAGGCGGAUGGCCUAGGCGUAGGUGGUGUUGCGCUCAUCCUAUGCCUCCUUAACAAUGAGGUGACAGUGAGCAUGUGAUGGCCGAUUGAGCUGCUUGGGCGAGCCCUCUCCUCCUUCUCAUAUGGGAUCUGCACGUAGUCGUGCUGGAUAUUCUACUAAAUGGAGUGUAUUUAGCGAUUCCAAUCCGGACACUCAUCGCAGGCAGGAUCCGCAUUGCGCCCUCCAGCGCAUAAUGAUGAUCCUCCUCCUCCGCUUGCUCCUCCAUCAUUUGCUCCUCCGUGAAGAGCGGCACCGAGUCCCACCGCAGGGGAAGCGACAUGGUGGGAGUGAAGUGGGGUUGAGGGUGGAGGUGAGGAAAAUGGAGGUUGUGGGUGGCGGGAAAAUGUGGUUGGUGAGUGGAGGUGAGGUAUUUGGACACGGCGACGACCAUUUUACAACUAUGGGUGGCGGGCGGCACAAAAACGUGGCGGACGGCGGGAAAAUGUGACAGUAAACGUGACGCCAACGACCACGAGCAGUUGCCACAUGGCAGCCGCCAUAAAUUGGCACGACUCCCAAUGCCAUGGGCAUCUGUUCCAUUGGCAGAGAGAGGAUGGGAUGCGCGGGAGGUUGAGAAGGGAGGUGAAACUAGCCUCCUGUGCGAGCUGGUGGUAGAUGGCGCCCUCUCCAAACCAACGCCCCGUAACUUCCAAAUAUGAAGGUUCGCAGAUUCAAUAUAGAGCGCCCACCAUAAAUUAUGACGAUCCGGGACCGGAUGCCAACUCUGCUAGAGUGGCCUUUUCGACCAAAAACACCGUGUCCGCUAGACAUGCUUUGUUCAUGAACAUAAGACGUUUUAAAGAUUUAUGUAGAAGUGUCUAAAACAUAAACAAGAACAUAGGAAGUAUUUGUUAUAUUUUUCUACAGAUAAAUACUACUCCCUCCGAUAGAGGAUGGAUCGGAGGGAGUAGUAGUCCAGAUUUCCAUGCUUAUCAGUUCUUUGUGCUAGGUGAAUCCUUUGACGCAAAUGUGGACCAAAUGCUGCUGCUAGUCAUCCACAGUUGAAACAGUUCGCAAAACCAAAAAUGCCAAUAACUAGUAAUAGUAUGUGGGGAGGGUACUUUGAUCAUUUGAUUCGGCCUGUCAUCCGUCCCUUAAUUUAUUCAGCUUGCUGCAACUUGCUCAACAGUCUGAGUCUGAGUCUGAGUCUGAACCAAAUGAAAAGAAGCGGUCUGAAUCUCUUUGAAGGAAAAAAAGAAAGAAAGGAUAAUAAAAGGAGAAGGAAAAAAGAGGGAUGCAGAUUAAAAGGAGAAGAAAUGGUGUGUGACAGACAUAGAGAUGUAUCACUUGCCUGCAGCCUGCAGCCUGCAGCCUGCAGCCUAGCAGAGUGUGCAAUGCAUGCUUCAACGCCAAGAAUUGCUGCUGGUUUUCUCAUGACGCACGGAUCCACACCAUGAAUGCGGUGUUGUUAGUUGGCCCUGCCCUGCCCUGCCCUGGCACUCACAUUGAAUGCGUCCUUGACCCGAAGACGCACCAGGGCAGAUGGAUCAUUUCCACUAAUUUUUCGACAAAGCACAUCUAAUGGUUACAAGAAGACGCUGUCAGAUUUAGCAUCGUCUUCUUCUUCCUCACCCAACCCAACUGACGAGUAGUCCUACUCGGUUAGGAAGCAGACACGUUUUUACCCAACCCAACGACAAACUCUUCACUUCCUCCAUGGCCAUGGGCACUUGCAAAAUGACAAACUGAUGUUGACUCCCUCUCACACACACAUACACAUACACAUACACAUACACAUACACAUACACAUAAAGAGAGAGAGAGAGGAGAUGGACAAGUGGACAAGCAUCUCUCUAUCUCUCAUGGUGAUGGUGGGUAGGACCUUGGAGCGGCACAUGGGAUGCUGAGAAAGAGAACAAGGAACCCCCCGCCCCGUGCCCACCCACAUCUCCUCCAGCUAGAGGCCACAUCUCCUAAUAGUUAGUUAGGUAGUUUAAUUUAGUUUAGUUUAUGCACUGCCUGGAACGGAAUGCCAGGUCCCAAUACACUAGUAACCAAGUAUACAUGUACGUCAGUCCUCCUUAACUGCAUUUAACAGGACAGUGGUACUCACAUUACAUUCUGGUAAAACGACCGGGUUAACAAUGGCCUUCUUCUCUUCUCUCCAGCCCCUCCUCCUCCUCCCCAUUCUCAUCCUCGCAACUCUUCUUCCUUCCUUGUACAACUACUAGCGCUCCGCGUAGCGACUCCCACUCACAGUCCCAUUCCCAGCCAUAGAGAUAGAGGAGCGGAGCAGCAACAACAAGGCGACCACCCUCCAUCAGCUACCUCGAGUCCCAGAGCUGUGAGGGCGGCCAUGCCCCUCACGCUCACAACAUCUCCUUCUGCCCCUCUGGGCUGCCUCCCCUCCUUACAAGAAAAGAUCAUGAUUGAGCUACCACACUGCUGAGCUGGUAGCAAGGACCGCCGGUCGGUUUGCUUUGCUACCCCUCUUCCUCCCUGCAUUUUGGGGAUUUGGAAGAGGGGAGGAGGCGAUGCCGGCCAAGUACCUGCAGGCGCUGGGAGAGGACAGGCGGCCGGACCUGCACCGCCAGAUCGGCUGCGUCACCGGGAUCCUGCAGGCCUUCGACCGCCGCUACCCCAUCGCCGCCCACCACUCCCACAAGAGGCUUCUCCCCCCAGGUUAGGUUGCCAUCCUCUCCUUCCUUCCUUCCUUCCUUCUUUUCUUCUCGCCGCACCUGCUUCUGCUUCUGCUUGCUUGCUCCAAACAUGCAUGGAUUCAUUCUGCCUCACCAAUUCCUUGAAGCAAUUACGUUAAUGUUCGUAUGCCACCGUGAUAAGAAUAUGAUAUGAUAGAUCACGGCUCUGCUUUUGGAAGAUAGAUAGAUCAGGGCUCUGCUUUAGUAUGGUCUCACCACAUGCUCCAGUUUUUUCGGCCUUCUUUCUUUCCACAUUGAAUCGCUAGGUGCUGCUGGCGAUUGUUGAGAUCUACUGUAGCCUUUUUCCCCUUUUUUGGGCGAGCCACCCAGAUGCAGGAAUUUAAUUACUACUACGUACUUCAAUAUAGGGUGGAGGCAUAGGGACGUUUAUUUCUGAAUGAAACCUUUAGUUCAGAAUUGUAAUAUUUUUUAUCUGCACCGGCGCUGAUUAGCCGGAAAUUGGUCCCGGAUGACCGACAAAAUAUGUCACUAUGUCAUGCAGACAGACAGAUUAGACCCUGCUUCCGAUAAUAAAAUCUAGUAUCCGUAAACAGUUUUGCUAAGUCUCACUUGACUGAGACUUCGUUAUGUCUCACUCGAUGCUAUAGUCCUUUGAUUUUGCAUGGAGAUUCGCACAAAAAAAAAA
rnacentral:lncRNA from 1 species